rnacentral:piRNA from 1 species
UAUCCACAGUGUGUCUCCCAAUAUGAC